rnacentral:lncRNA from 1 species
CUCCUCCUUCUUCUCCUCCUCCUCCUCCUUCUUCUUCUUCUUCUUCUUCUUCUUCUCCUUCUCCUCUUUCUUCUCUUGUUUCUUCUUAUCCUUAGCUUAUUUUCCCCAACAAAGACAUACUUAGCUAAUUAUCCUCUAAAAUGACAUAAUUAGCUAAUUUAGCUCCAAAAUGACAUAAUUAGCUAGUUUAGCUCCAAAAUGACAUAACUAGGUUAGGUAGGUAAAAAACAUCACAAGAACCUUGGUU